rnacentral:lncRNA from 1 species
CGGGGACAGAAAUGGGGCAAACUAUUUUAUAUGCAUUUACGAAUAUGUCAAAAUGAAUCUCACUAUUAUGCAUAAAUCUAAUAAUGCACUAAUUUUUUAAAAAAAUAUCAUUUACAGGACUUAAAAAAGCAAUGGAAAAUGCAGGGAGGUUCUAUAAGAAGAGCAUGCUUCUUCUUCAAACUCCAGAACAGGAGAGGUGACGCAUGUCCCCUACAGGGGUCAGAGAGUCUCACAGAGGUCUCACGGAGCCUGGCAAAAGUCCUCUUCUUUGCUGCUUCACGAGAGCAGCCACAGCUAACAUGUAAAUGAACAAGACUGGCUAUGUGCCAAUGGGACUUUAUUUUUAGACACUGUAACUUGAAUUUCAUAUUAUUUUAAUUUUCCCAUGUGAUGCAAUAUGAUUCAUCUUAUGAAAUAUGAUUCUUUUGAUUUUUUUUUCAGCCAUUUAAAAAUGGUGAAAGCCAUUCUUAGUCCACAGGCUGUACUUUAAAAGCAGGCGGUUGUCUGGCAUUAACCUGUGGGCUGUGACGGGCAAUGUCUGCUCUUGCGUAGCCUUGCCUGAAGGACCUUGGGUCCCAGUCAGGCCUCAGUCACCGUAAACUAGCCACCAAAGAGGAGAGUGAGAAAGGUCCAGACCUGGUGCCCGGUUUCACACAUUGAAAGGCAGCUUAAGAGAAAAACAAAAGAAAACAAAACUUUUCUCAAAAAGUUGCCAAAUGCCUCUCCUGCUUGCAGGGUGUUAAAAUGAAAACCCAGCCUCUUGAAAGAGCAUCUUGUGACAACCAUAUCCUCUCCCCCAAAUUGCAUAGUAAGCAACUGCCCAUCCACUCACCUGUCACCCUCCCCCUAGCUGAUUCAUCUGGCAGGAGUGAGCCACCGCCAUUUGUGGGCACCUCGGCCGCAGCAGGGCUGACAUCCCUGCUCCUGGUGUGAAUGCAGGCGUGGAUUCACCAACAUCACCCACGAAUCAGAAAGGCAGAGCAAAAAAGAAAAAACGAAAAACCAAACAAAGGCUUCUGCUUUGCAAUAUUUGUUAAUAUAAAGGCGUGUUGACAUACUUUUUAAUCUGUCAGCAGACAAACCCUGGAAGGUAGCCCGUGCCGUCGGCGCGUUAACUUGUUCUUGCUCACUGAUAUGGAAAUGCUAAUUCCCUGGAAGGGUGAGGCAUGGGUGCAGCUCUGAGAAGGAAAUGUUAACGUGCAGCCCGGGCGUGUGCCAUCAUCUGCCGGAGAGAGGACAGGAGGGAGGACAGUGGGCACUAUGGUCCUCUCACGUCCAAGGUGCUCGAGGAAGAUCCUUGACUUACCCAGGCGAGACUGUAGACACCACAGAUCCCGCCAUUGGAAGGUCAUCUAAUCCUGCCCUCUGCAUCCCAAAUCCCAUUUGAGUCAUUUUCUGGUCUGAACUUGAAGGCUUGAUGGUCUUCAGGUGCCAGUGUGCCUCUUGGUGGACGGUCCCCAGACAGCUUGCCCUUGCUAUGCAGAAGUUCUCCAGAGAGAGUGUUAACCUGUUUCCUGACUCAGUUCUCUAGGAGUCCUCUCGAGUGCUGUACCUACCUGAUUGCAGUUAUCAGGACGCCUUCAGCCAACCACUGUCAUCUUUGCCUGAUCUGCUGUCCUUGGUUCUAGUGUUGCCCCAGUAAUCCAUUCUCAGCACAGAGACCAGAAUCAUCUUUUAGAAGCAGAAAUCAGAUCCUGUCACCUUCCUAUUUAGUCUUCCAAAGGUUGUAUUCGGAAUAAAAUUUGAAAUGUCUUACUCUGUG